AGUGAACGCUGGCGGUAGGCCUAACACAUGCAAGUCGAACGGUAGCACAGUAAGAGCUUGCUCUUACGGGUGGCGAGUGGCGGACGGGUGAGGAAUACAUCGGAAUCUACUUUUUCGUGGGGGAUAACGUAGGGAAACUUACGCUAAUACCGCAUACGACCUACGGGUGAAAGCAGGGGAUCUUCGGACCUUGCGCGAUUGAAUGAGCCGAUGUCGGAUUAGCUAGUUGGCGGGGUAAAGGCCCACCAAGGCGACGAUCCGUAGCUGGUCUGAGAGGAUGAUCAGCCACACUGGAACUGAGACACGGUCCAGGCUCCUACGGGAGGCCGCAGUGGGGAAUAUUGGACAAUGGGCGCGAGCCUGAUCCAGCCGUACCGCGUGGGUGAAGAAGGCCUUCGGGUUGUAAAGCCCUUUUGUUGGGAAAGAAAAGCAGCAGGUUAAUACCCCGCUGUUCUGACGGUACCCAAAGAAUAAGCACCGGCUAACUUCGUG
rnacentral:rRNA from 1 species